AUAGAAAAAUACAGUUUGUGUUAACAUCCAAACAGUAAAUGUCUUCUAACACUUAAUGUUACUUUGCCACAAACAGUUGUUUUUGUGUUGAAAGAUAAGCAUCCCAAAGCUUUUGACAAUUAAAAACACUAAUAGUAAUCCAUGUCUAAUUUUAACAAUAUGUCAAAGUGUACAGACAUUGUUUAACAAUUAGUUGAUGCAUUAUUGUCACAAAUUGUAGAAAUAUUAGGUCAACGUCUCUCAAAUGGUUCAUUAUUCCAUUUUCACAGCACACUAACACAUAUAUGUUUCACCAUAAAUUACUCAAUUUUAACAUUUUGGCAAAUUGUUGCAUGCGUUAAUAGUAGUGAGCAUUUGUGUAUCGAAAAUUUUGUGUGUUGGCAAAUUUUCAUCACGCGGUUCAGCUGCGGUUGUUCGCUUUCAAAAUAUAAAUAAAUCAGAAAAAGCUCGAGAACUCCCGCAUUUUCUCACAAGAUUCCUUGAACCCCAGUGACCGGAAAAGGUGAAAAUCACAGCUCACACCAAGCCGCCGAUCAUGGAUUCGGUAGCGUUAUUUCCCGAUUGGAUGUUUCUACGGAAGGACGGUAGGCUCCCACCGCAACUAGUGCAACAAGCAAACAUCGGAUGGCGGGCGGAUGACUGCCGCUGGAAGGAAGCUGCAAUCGGAAGGCGGAAGGACACUUUUGGGAAGAUCUGAUUGAAGUUUAAUCAUAGAACCGCAAAACCAUGAAUGGAUCAACUCGUAAUCGCAUCGUUAUAAGAUCUUCCGUGCCAAAUAUCCAUUUCGAACUAGAUGUCCCCGACAGGGCUCCGCUACCACCCGCUACUACCAUGGCUACUAUCCUGCUUGACGAGUUACUCUACAACUAACAAAAGUCGCAAUAUUCCAGCUAAGUACGAUAAGUUGUUCAAUCGUUGCUAAAAAUAUCAGUAAUUGUGCUCAAAAAUGUGAAAGCUUGCUCAGUCUCAGACAUUAUAAAAAUAGUAGAAAAAGGGCAUAAUCGACUCGAAAUGUGAUAACACCUAUUGCCAAUACUGCCCCCACUCGCAAAACAGUCCCAUAUGAAUAGGAAAUCCAGCAAGGUGGGACUGUUAUGCAAGUGGCGGCAGUAUAGGUUAUUAUCGAUUUUUGAUAAAAAAAAAUGCUCAGAACAAAAACAAAAAGUUACGACACAUUUAUGAUUUGACUUCUUGUAAAUCUCGUGUUAAAUACCACAGUAAUAUAAUACAUAUUUUUAAUAUAUGCA